CGCUAGCUUUGGCUUUGAUGAAUAUUCAUGAGAACAUCUCUGGUGUGAUGGCAGCGGGGGGACUGUUUACUCCAGCGAAGAAUCAAAGGGAGGGUGCUGCUGUGUCAGAUGGCGGGAAGAAUGUGGAGGUGGGUGGACAGAAUGUAAUGGAAAUGCGUGUGUGAGCGCCUGUUUGUAUUUCAGGCUCUGGGAGACUGGGAAGGUUUGUUAAAGACACGUUGAGAGGUUGUUGCCGUGGGGACAGCUCACAUAUGGAUUAGCCUGACACCGAGAACCAGAGGUUGCAGAUACAUAUGACACGUAAACAUGUUGGGAAGAGAAUACAGGGCAUCCUUCACGGUGGACAUCGAGCAGACGGCAUUGCGACGUCUUUUGGGAAAAAAUGGAACACCAAACUGGCCAGUGUUCGAUGGGAAUCUUCUAAAUUGGAUUACAAAAAGACAGUAGAAGAGUAAAGUCAGAGGAUGAAUAGAGCCAGCAAGAGUGAUGGAAGAUGGUCACUGAAGAUGAGCCAUGGGGGAGUGAUCAAUGGAGGCUGAACAGCAAAAGACAAGAGCCAGACAAGAUGUCAAGGCUGUACUCGGUGGUGCGGCCAACAAAGACGAAUGAUCUUAUACGAGAGAUGACUCUGAGGUCAGGCUGAUAUUGUCAUAGCACUGACUUUUUAGUUUUAUUACCAUCGACCUGCCUCACUGGAGAAUGUAUUGACUGAGAAUGUGAAUGAGCUAUCUUGGAUAUUUAUGACCGCACUUCGUUCAUGCAUUCCUGAUGCUGAAGGAAAAGCCAAAGACAAAAUGAAAGAGCUCAAUGAAUUGCAUAAAAUUUGUGAGAAUCUGUUUUUGUUGGAUGAAAUUUGUUUCUUGCAUUUCUGUCUUCAUCUGAAAACAAUUACUUGUGUAUGAAUGUAAUUCUGCAUAAAUGACCGUAUGUUGAAUUAGUAUUUGUUGUAGUAUUUCUUGUCUUAGUUUUACUGUACAGGUUUGUCUUGCUGACCUUGUAACCCAAACAACAUGUUUCCGUACUACUAACCUGUCUUACAAAAUAAGUUUUGGGAGGAAUGCAGUUGCUGUAGUAGUUGUAGAAAGCAAGUUGUAAAAGAGGUUGCACAAAGGAAAAAGUUUUGUCUCUUGAGGUCUUCGCUCUGCAACCUACAUUACACUAACUUUCUCAAAAGGCCGCAGUCCUAGCUAUAACAAGAAACUUGAGUUGGAUAAACAUAACUAUGAGGCCAUUAUUCAUGCUCAUUACCAGGAGCUCAGAGACUUCAGUGAAGUGGAGCUGAAGAAUUGAUUAGUCCAUCAGCUGAAAAUGAAUAUUAAUAUGCAAUCAGUUUGAUAACUAAUCAUUAAAGUAACAGAUAAUGUUAAUGUUAAU